rnacentral:rRNA from 1 species
UACGUAGGGUGCAAGCGUUAAUCGGAAUUACUGGGCGUAAAGCGUGCGCAGGCGGUUAUGCAAGACAGAUGUGAAAUCCCCGGGCUCAACCUGGGAACUGCAUUUGUGACUGCAGAUCUUGAAUGCUCGAGAGGAUGGCAGAAUUCCAGGUGUAGAAGUGAAAUUCGUAGAUAUCUGGAGGAAUACCGGUGGUGAAGACGGCUGUCUGGUGAGACAUUGACGCUGAGGUGCGAAAGCGCGGGGAUCAAACAGG